UACGUAGGGUGCGAGCGUUAAUCGGAAUUACUGGGCGUAAAGUGUGCGCAGGCGGCCGCGCAAGUCGGGUGUGAAAUCCCCGGGCUUAACUUGGGAAUUGCGCUCGAAACUACGUGGCUCGAGUGUGGCAGAGGAAGGUGGAAUUCCACGUGUAGCGGUGAAAUGCGUAGAGAUGUGGAGGAACACCGAUGGCGAAGGCAGCCUUCUGGGCCAACACUGACGCUCAUGCACGAAAGCGUGGGGAGCAAACGGG
rnacentral:rRNA from 1 species